rnacentral:tRNA from 1 species
GGGGAUUUAGCUCAGUGAUAGAGUGCUUGCCUAGCAAGCGCAAGGCCCUGGGUUCGAUCCCCAGCUCCG